UGUUUGCCUUCCUCUUCAGGAGCAAAACAAGACUCAUGGAGGCCGUGAGUGGAUAGCCUGGGGUCCCCAUCCUAGAAAACAAACUGUGAAGGAAUAGUCUGAUGGAUACUAAUGAAAAUGAAUUAACUGUGGGGAAAAUGAAUUGACUCCUUUGUUCUUGAGAGCGAUCUCUGCUGUCUAAACAGCACGUGUGGUCUGUGUCAUCGAUAUCAAAGUCAUGGUGCCACUUUCUCUGUCUCAAGCCUUAGUGUGAGCUCAGAUCUUCUGUACCUCUUUCCGGCCUGUCCUGGUAGUUGAGAAGUGGCUGGGGAAAAUGCACUGAUGCUGGUGUAGUAAAAAAUGGACAAGACCUGCUCCAAUGCAGGCAGCAUGAAAUACUGUUGGUCAUUCUCUUCUUUGUAUAUUCUUCUAAAUCUGCUUCCCUGAGAUCACUUACUUUUAGAUCCUUUACCUGGCUAUACAGUGCAUGUGAGGACCACUCUGCAGUCCUCCACGGCCUGCUGACAUGCUUUGCUGGUGUGAUGAGUUUGAAGUAAAAGCCUGAUGCUUUCCUUAGGUUGAACCCUGCUCCUUUACUGCUGAUGCACAGUCAGUAUCGUGCUUUUUGGCUGCAAAAUCAUGGGAUAAGCUGUGGCUGCAGGGUACCGUGAGCUGCUGCAGCUUGCAUCUGGGGUAGCCAGACCAAGCAGGCUGGAGAGAUCCUGGCCCUGGGGACUCAGUAAGCAUAAACUUGGUUCUUAGGCAAUUACCCUUUGGUUAGUAAUAUUGUAGAGCAGAGUGGAAAAACUGUGGCUUUUUAGCUCAUUCUUGUCAACCUGUGAAAUGGCAGUGGUGAGGAAGAAAGCUGGUUUUCUUUCCAUGGUGGAAGAAAAAUAUGAUGAAAAUGUUUGCUUUCCUUAAAAAAUGUCUAGUGUCAAAGUAUCUGAAGAUUAUUAUUACUUGAGUUUCACUGUUGCAUUUGUUGGGGAGGGGUGGGAAAUACUAUUGCGCAUGUUUUGACGUGAGGCAGCUCAGCAGCAGAUCACUCCUGACUGUUUCAGGGGCUGAUAAGGUGGAACUCAACAUUGUCCAGAUCUGGGAUUGGGCAGCAGUCUUAUUUUCUCUUACCGCAAUGUUUCAAAGCUCUGUUGUCAAAAACUGCAUGUGCUGUAAGUUCAUCUUUUUUCUUCCCCCUCCCUGUCCUGAAAGGAAACCUAAAGAAAUCACCUAGCCUUUCUUUUCUUCAUUUACAGUUCUCAGUGAGGAGGCAGCAGCCAUGCAUGGUGUAGUAAGCAGCUCACUUGGGGCGCCCAGGAUGUGCUAAGCAGUGCAGGUUGCUAUGUGCCUGAGGGGAAAUGAUUGUCUGGCAGUAUGAAAGAAGAACCUCGUGGUGGUGAUUGUGCAUGCUGUGUAGUUAUUUCUUUGUCCAGUGACACCAGGUAUCGACGUGGAGCAUGCACUGUUUCUACCCGCUGUUCUUGGGCUGUUCUGUUCUCCAGAAGCACUGAGCUGAGGACUGGAACUAGCCCGUAUGUAAUCUGUGUUUGAUGUUGCAAAGGGUGCAGAUCAGACUGGGGCUGAUUACUUUCAAAUUGAAAACAAACCCAAGUCGCAGCAAAUUUCCUAGUUUUUCUAUCUGUAUUUUAGCACAAUGGUUCACCUUGCAGUUAGUAUCUUAAAAUCCUCAGGCAAGUUUUGCCAGUUCUGAAUGUUUUCCACACGAACAUUAUAAAAUAUUAUUCCACACCUUGUGUUCUUAAUGUUGCUUUCUAUUUUCCUCAUCUCACAUUAAAUGGUAAAAGUAGGUACUUGGAUUCUGUGCUAUACACACAUACACAUAUAUUUGUAUAUAAAUUUAGAUCUAUAUGCGUGCUAGUGCUUUAGCAAGUUAAGAUCCUUCAAAUUUAUCUGACAUACAUCUAUAUCUGGCUACAGUUUUUGUCGUGGUAAGCAUUUUUUGCUCACGCAGAAUGUCUGUUUGUGAUUACUGCUCCUGUUAUUAUCUAUCUCAUCUAUGUGCUGGAUGACAAUUAGAGAUAGCAGAGACCACAGCCUACAUGGCUCCAAUGGCACGGUACCUGGUGUUCCUACUGUAUUUUAUUUUAAAAAGCUAUAAUGUAAUAUAUCUUUUCUUUUCUCUUCACAGUAUUUUCUGCUCUCCCCUCCUUGUCCUCCUGCAGUCUGGUAAUAGCAAGUGCCUUCAGUGGCGAGCAGGGCCCUGCUGCUGGAGCAAAGACAGUGCUUAUGGCAGGGGACCUGUGCUCCAGGGAUGAGAUACGGGAUGGCUGUGAGGUGUGGAGGACACGAGCGUGGGAUUUCCUGUGUGUGGCAAGUGGACAUAUGAAGCUAUGUUCCACAGGACUUCCUGCAGGACCUCGUCCUGGCUCUCAUCCACCCAUGCCUCCACAAAGGUUGUGCCUGAGAAGACCCAUGAGGUAGCAGGGCGAGUUUAUUUGCUCAGUCCUGCUCUACUCCGUCAAAGAGACCUCACUGAGAGAAAUCAGAGGGCCCCAUUCAUCAGGGAGGAAAUCCUGCUUGCAGUAGCAAUGCUGUGCAAGAAAAUGCAAACCUGCCAAGCUUUACUUACCUUAGCCCAGUGUGUGGUGAGGCAUGCUGAUAGAUGCAUGGUUCCAACAUGUUUUGGAGACUGGCCAGGGAAAACUCAUCAACUGGAAGGAGCAGGACAUGCACGCCCCUGCCACCGUGUGGUUCAUGGAUUCCAAGCCCCUUGGAGUGGCACAAGAGUGGGAGCAAAGAAAGUGUGCAAAGCAGCCGUGAGUGAAGUACAUGCAGCUGGAGGCAUCUCUCAGGGGAAGAGGAAAAUGGGAGAGCUGUGAGCAAUGAUUAGCUGUAGCCAUUAAACUCAGAAAGCAGUGACGUAAUUUUGGGAGUGUGAUUGUACCAUCUGAACUAUCCUAGAAGAAAGUCAAGUGCUGUGAAAAUAACACCAUAUGUUCAGAGAGCCUGAUCUGGAGGUUUCCAAACCACAGGGCUGGAUUUUGCUGGGAUACUUUGCAGAUGCAACUCAUAGGGUGUCAGACCCUGAGAACCUGUCCUUUGCAUCCCUUCUUGGGGCAGCCAUGCCAAAACCUCUCUGGAACCACGUGGUCUGGCAGACAGGUGGAUGCCAUGGAGUGUUUUCUGCAGGAGCCCACACGACUUAUGCCGGACUGUUGUGCCACUGUGCCACCACGCAUCUGGAUGGGAUCCCAUGACUUCCCCCAGCAGAACCUGGAUUCGUGUUGUGGAGGAGUUGAACCAGCAGGCUGACACUGCCCACUGCCUUGCAAAUCAAAAAAACCACCCCGAUACCCCUUUAAAAGUUGUAUUUCAGGCCUCCAUAAAGAAGCCUAUAAGGAAGUCUGAAUUAACAGGAUCAUUUUGUUUGGAGAUUUUCCUCCAGGACUGAGGCUGUAUGUAUGGGACAGACUCAGAGCUUUGGCAUUUGUGUUAAGAUCAGCUUACAAUUUGAUAUUUUUGAUCAAGUAGUGCUGGGGGGCAGAUGUAUACAUCUGGGUGCCACAGCUGGGCACUCAGCUGUGCAGUGCUGCCACUUUGAAAUGGGGGAGCAGAGGGAAAAGCAUGCCUGCUGCCGCUGUGAAAAUUAAUAUUUCUGCAAUUCACCUGCAAGAAGCAUACCCCAUCAAGUGCUGCAUUUGAGAAAUAAGUAUUUCUCCCUUCUAGGCUUGGAAAGAAAGGACCUCAUUGAAAGGAAAGAAAAGAAAUCCUGGUGAUUCAGCUGAGUGGAGUGCAAUGUACUCAGAGAAAAUAAGAAAGGAAUGAAAGUGUUAGCAGAGACUUGGUUAUGGCAGUGGAGGGGUAUUAGCCAAGUCAAAAUGGGUUGUCAAACUAGGCUCUUGUUUGUAUAACCUCCCAUGUUCCUUGCUCUGAGUCAACAUCGAGCCAUCUGGGAUGGGGGAAGGGAAUAACUUUUUUGCUUAGAAAAAAUAAAAACACGCAAAAAUCAGUUAAAUUUAUGUUUCUCUUUUAACGGAAGAAGUGUUGAAAAGGAAAACAUACCUUUUGGAGUGAAGCAUUUGUUUUUGUUCUUUAUAAGUACUUGUUUGAGUUCAUGUUUGUUAAAUGGCUUGUAGUUAUUUAAUCAUGGGGAUUUCCUUUGCUAACAUAAAAAUAGGUGUGAUUGAAAAAUUCAUAGCAGGAAAACAAAACUGCCUUUCACCCACUUGGACUUGUUUGAUUUGAUGAGAUAUUUGUAAGCCUCUGUAAGCACAUGUGGCUUAUAAGCAUGUUUCUUUCAGAAAGGAACACAGCUUUCAGACACAGCUUUCUCAAGAAGACACAUGAAGGCUGAAGGAAUAAAUAAUGGCACAAACCACGAGUCCACCCAAGACUAAGUUCCCAAGUGCUCCCUGACAAUGGAAACUCAAAACAGUUGAAUAAGAAAGGCAGAACUACUUGGCUAGCAAAGGUGGAUUUUGAACAGCAAAUGUAAUUUCAUUUUCUGACCUGCCUCCUCACGUAUGCAAAUUCAGUAUCAUAUAGUUAAGACCCCUUGGCUUUGCUAGGUGCAGCACACACGCAUUUAAAAUGGUAGGAACCUCUUGUCAGUCUACAUUUUUGUGAAAAUAAUGGUACUGUGUUUUGU